rnacentral:rRNA from 1 species
CAGUAGCCGCGGGAAUACGAAGGGGGCUAGCGUUGUUCGGAUUUACUGGGCGUAAAGCGCACGUAGGCGGACUUUUAAGUCAGGGGUGAAAUCCCGGGGCUCAACCCCGGAACUGCCUUUGAUACUGGGAGUCUUGAGUUCGAGAGAGGUGAGUGGAACUGCGAGUGUAGAGGUGAAAUUCGUAGGUAUUCGCAAGAACACCAGUGGCGAAGGCGGCUCACUGGCCCGGAACUGACGCUGAGGCACGAAAGCGUGGGGAGCAAACAGGAUUAGAUACCCCCGUAGUCCCUGUCUCUUAUAC